rnacentral:precursor_RNA from 13 species
UGCUAGAGCUCAGCCUGGCACAUUAGUAGGCCACAGUACAUGUUUAUUGGAUGAAUAAAUGAAUGAGUCAUCAACAGACAUUUAUUGUGUGCUUGCUAAAGUGAUCUCCACAGGCCCUGGACU